rnacentral:lncRNA from 1 species
CCAAAUCUUUCUCCUAGCAGCAACAAUUCAAACCGUGUUGUAGUUUUCCCAGUCAAUGCCACCUUUUUAUUCUGUGCAAUCCUUGCAAGCCUGCGCCAUGUAGUGCCUUACGCUUUAAACGUGCACACACACAGGCUCACUUGACAUGCAGAAAGUAAAUUGCAUCUGCUGCUAUGGUAAUGGAACAUUAAUUCAAUUUGAAUAUUGGCAUGAGGCAGUGCUUCAGUAUUCCCGUAAGCAAAGAACAAAGACCUUAGCAGGAUUCGAAGAAGAAAGUUUAGUAUUUUAAGAGCUGGUCAAUGAAAGCCUCCACAGCACGUAAUCCCCCUAAUGACAGUGCUUCGGUAUUCCCGUAAGCAAAGAACGAAGACCUUAGAAACACGAUAAACAGGCCUAUCCCACGAUUAGACCUGAAAGUUAAACAUCUCUAGUCCACAAGGAAGAGAGGAAACCUCCAAACUGAUAAUCCUAUUGAUGCAAGAUAAGUUAUCCGUGCCCAAUGCUUACACUCGUAUGACUAGUUUAUUGAAAAAAAUAUAUGAAUAAGGGCAUGACUCCACACCCUCUUUCUAGGAACAACAGGGGAGAUGCUCUUAAUAAGCAUGCCUCUUUACCUAUAUGCUCUUUUCCUCCUCCUUUAAAGUUUGAAGUUUAAAAUAACAC